GAUGAACGCUAGCUACAGGCUUAACACAUGCAAGUCGAGGGGCAUCAGGAAGAAAGCUUGCUUUCUUUGCUGGCGACCGGCGCACGGGUGAGUAACACGUAUCCAACCUGCCCUUUACUCGGGGAUAGCCUUUCGAAAGAAAGAUUAAUACCCGAUAGUAUAAUGAAACCGCAUGGUCUUAUUAUUAAAGAAUUUCGGUUAUCGAUGGGGAUGCGUUCCAUUAGGCAGUUGGUGAGGUAACGGCUCACCAAACCUUCGAUGGAUAGGGGUUCUGAGAGGAAGGUCCCCCACAUUGGAACUGAGACACGGUCCAA
rnacentral:rRNA from 1 species